CGUCGACGACGCUACGACGCUUUUCAGCCGUCGCUUCAUAUCGGCGUUUACACGUGUGUGUGUGUGUAUCUGUGCGUAUUCGAACGUAUGUAUAUGUGUGCGUCGAGUGCAGCAGCAGCUGAGCUAAGUGCAAACCCCAAAACUCGCUCUAUCUAUGCGUAUGCUUCGUGUUUGUGUACGUGAGAAUGCGCGCAGCAAAAGCAACAGCGAAAAAAAUUCCGGUUGUGAAAAAAUACACACAUACACACAUGAAUAUGCACACAGACGGCGGUUGAUAUUGUGAUGGCAGUAUGAGCGAGUGAGAGCAACAAUUUGCAUAACAUUUGUCGGCAGCAGCGAAUACAACGGAGUUGCCACACCGCAAAAACACGAUGCAAACAUUUGAAGAACAUGAAACAACAACAAUAACGACAGACAACAACACAUCGGCAAACAACAAAAACUAGAAAGCAUAAUAUAUAUGUAUGUAUUUGCAAUUUUGUUAUUCUUUGCGUUGUGGCAGCAGCAACAAUUGCUGAUAAAAACCGCAACGUGUGUGCGAGCAAAGAAGCUGAUAAGCGCCAAGUUGCGAUGUCUAUAUGUAUGUAUAUUGAAGGCGCAUUUCAAAACAAGCGCGACAUGCAUACAUGCAAACUAUGUACAUCAUGCAGAUGUGUACAUAUAUUUAUAGACAUUCCCCCCACCAACAACAGCAAAAAUAUAUUAAGAGGAGGCGACGUCACAGCGCCCAAAGUGUAAUACGUGACAACGGCGACGUAACAUAGAAAAGCAUAACACACACAUGUUCAUACACAUGCAAGUACAUGCAUACUUAUGCGCAGCGUACAUGUUUUUACAAAUAUGGCAACACUAAACAAAGCAGCCAGCUGCUGUUUGUAUGAGCACUUUACCAACACUGGUCACCCACCCAAUACACCGCAAGAAUGCAACACAUUGUUGUUGUUUUGAUUACGAGGCGAAAGUGGCCAAACAGCAACUACAAGAAACAACAAACUAAAAAUCUGUUUAUGUGUGUGUGUGUUUGUUUCCUUGACGUGCGCUACGUGCCGAGAGCACCGCAGUGGCAUCGCCAAAGCAUUUCCAAAAAAAAACUAAAAUACCAAAAAAAUAUAUACAAAUCUAGGUCAUAUGCACUCGUUUAAUGGUUGUCGACGCCGCCGCCGGCGUUGCGCAGUCGCUGCCGUUGUUUUCUUGUUUACAAAAGAUGCAAAGCUGCGCAGAGCGUGCGGUUAGCAGGCAAAUUUAUUGCGCUGUCUCUGGUGUACGAGUGUGUAUGUAAGAACAGCUUGCAUAAAACUCAUUUGUGUGUGUGUGUGUGCGGAUUUGGCUUCCUCUUCAUUUUACACCAAUCAAAUUUCAUUGCAAAACAAAGACUGUACUUUGUGAAUGCGAUAAACUUAUUGCGAUUGUUUAGACAAGAUAGGAAGGGGGCGGGGGUGGUUAGCGAAACGAAUUGCGUGGGUUGGUGUGGACAGCAGCACCAUCUAUUAUUAGAUUUAGCCGUCAAAGAUGUUUGUUUAUUAUCACACACACAUACGCACACAUACAGCGACAAACGCAAAAUCGAAGACAAACAUAAUAAACGAUGACCUUGUUUUUGGUUCGGCACGCAUAAAAAUCAACUUUCCUACGUACACAAACGCAUGCUCGCAUGUACAUAUGUGUUGCGUCUACCGAAAGUGAAAGACAGGCCUGUGUGUCUUAUUGGAAUUCUCAUAAGAAUGUGAAAACAGCAAAAAGCACAGCAAAAACAACAACAGCUAGGAGAGCAUUAAACAGGUUGCCGACAACAUCGCAAAGAUUUUCACAGCAGCAGCAACGUCGUAAUACUCAAACAACGACUAAAUACAACUAAAAUAGAAAGUAAAAUCUUAAACAACAAAAUGCAACUUUGUUUUGGGCAUUUUUUUUUGGCUUGAAUAACCACACGCACGAUUUACAAUUUAUGCCCAGAGUAGAGCAACAGUAGUGAGAGCGAACCAAAAAUGGAAGUAGGUUGCGCGCUCUCUCACCUGUGUGUAUGUUUGAUGUGCUCAUUUUGGCACGGAAAGAGAGUGACAACAACGGCGCGGGUUACAGUGUAGUGUGUGAACGAGAGCGCUAUAGCGGUUAGCUCGUUUUAGCGCAUAGCCUGUUAAGUAAUAGACUGAAUUCUCUUUGUUUAUAUGUGUGUGAGUGUGUGUAGAGUAAGCGGCAACCACCAUCUGUGAUGCGCUUGUAUGUAUGUAUAUUUGUGAUUGUAGAGAAAGCGCGCGCAAACAAAUUCACUAAUUAAAAGAAGGAAAAAAAUAUAUAACAUAAAUGACAGCGGUAGUUAGUUAUGCCGCUUUAUAAACACUCACUCACUCACACAUAAACACACUCACUUCCGCACAUAUGGAGUCGUUUGUGAACGAGGUUAAGUUGCCGCCAUUGAAAGAGUUCAUUGUUGGUUUUUGCGGCCAACGACGAAUCGUUUGAUUAGCAAUACGAAGGUCAACAACAACAACAGCAUUCAUAACCAAAACGUUCGGUAUUUGGCAAAAUGGGUUCCAAAGAUAACCAAGAUGAAAUGCAGAUAGCAUGUUGUUUUCGAAAUAUGUAUGUGUUGCGGUCACACUUAGUGCUUGCACCGGCAAAAAAUUCAUGGAGCCCAAGAAGGAAAAGGAGAACCAGCAUGCCCACGAAAUAUUGUCUCCUCGCCGUUGGAGACCCGGCUCUCGGGCAUGGAGGGGCAUGCGAUCUUUAGUCGCUUCCGCGUUUACUGAGCUUAGUCAUCUGACGUUGCCCAAUGCGGCCAUGGACUGCAGAUUUGCUUGGAGAUAUUAAGUAAACAUGGCACGACGGUGCGGUUUGUCAUAACCGAUCAGGAAAUGCUAUUGAGGGGUUUCCCCAGUGGUAAUUCGUAUUAAUAUACGAGUAAGUUGUGAAUGCUGCUGGAUACUGGCGAUCCUAUCAUGUCGUUGUCCAGGGACGUGGAGCAUAUGCGUCUCAAGUUUCUGCUGCUUAGCAGCAGGCGAACAGACAAAACAUUGUCAGUCUGGGUGCCGCUGUCGAAAUCGAUCCUAAGAGCUGGCAACAGACGGCAAAAGUUUGGAUCCUGCCGAACUAUACAAAGCAUUUACUUACGGCUCCGUAAAACUAUGACGCAUAUUCCUCGACAGCUUCUUCAAUAGCUAGGAAUGUUGCAAAAGCCAUCAUUUCGUGCCCAAGUACGAGUUGAUGCACUGCGUGCUGAACUCGCUGAAGGCGCGCAAACAAUAUAAUCACAUUUAUAAUGAGUAUGAGAAUCGAACUUUGUGAUGCCUUCUGACGAUGAGCUACCACAAUCCUUAAAUCUGCGCUAUGCACUAUCCACCCGAGAGCCACCAAAGCCAACAAGCAAGGGCAAGGAGUUCAACAGCGAGCAAGAGAUCGAAGAAUCAGGGUCUGAAUCAUUUUCGUUGCCCUCUAUUCCAACGACAUCCGAGUCGAAGCAGGUCAGGAAGCGGAGCCUACAGCGGAUCACGAGGCGGAAAAGGAACUAGAGUCGUAGCGGGAGGCAGAGCAGAAAGUUGAGCAGCUGCAAAGGGAAGUGUAUAAUUCCAUGAAGAUGGAAAGAUCAAAAGCAACAGCAGCAACAACAAAUUCCAUACAGUUAAAGAUAUCUAACUGAAUUAAAUGCAGAGAUCUGUGCCAAAUAGAUUGGAGGCUGUUAAAAAUUAUAUACGAACUUUAUAGAUAAUAUAUGAACUUAUAGUCCGAUGAUGUAUGUAACUUCUGCAAUUAAUUUCAAUUUUUAAAAGAAAAUUUCACUAUAAUUGAAAAAAACAUGUUUUAUUUA